AUCGCGUUUGCAGGCACAUUCCGCUAGGCGGUUUCCUAAACCGGGGGUCGCUGGUUCGAGUCCAGCCGGGGAUACCA
rnacentral:tRNA from 1 species